rnacentral:lncRNA from 1 species
ACCUUGAAUGUUUGCCUGUAAUUUCUGCAUGCUUUGAUGUUCUAGCCUAGCACGUCAGCAAAAAGAGAAAAAAUGAAAAAUCCCCAUAAAAGAUGGCUAAUUUAAUAGUAUCAUUUAUUUUUCUUUAAUUUGGAGCAAUUGCAACUGUGGGCCUCAACAGCAUUUCGAAUUGCAUACCAGAUGAGGCUCUUACUUAAACACAAAGAAAUGGACACACACAGACAGACACACCAUACUCAACAAAACAGAAAGAAAGACACAUACCCAUGUGCAUACAUAUAGACAGACAGUCACAAACACACACACAAAUGAAGCUAACAUCUCAGAGUAUUUGGUUUUCCCUACUUCCUUUAACACAAGGGCAGUAACUAUUCCCAAAUAAUGUUUCCUAUCUUAAAUAUUCUUUGCUCUUUCAUCCCUUAUUCCUUUGUUGUUCCAUGAAUAUACUUUUGAAGAAAUGGGCUUUGGGUUACUGAUAAUUUCAGAAUAAAUGUGUCCACUGAAUGCAAAGAUAUUCAAAGGUAAUAGAAAUGGACCCCACAACCUGGAUGCUCCUUUCUAAAAGAGCAUGUAUUAUUUCUAAGUUUAUUUUAUGGCCUAGGAAGCCUCAGGUCCAAAUUAAAACCUAGCUCCAUACAUUGUCAGAACUUGGGGAUUAAGCAUCGACACAUCUUGUAGUUGAAGCAGUGACCUGUCACCUGUAUGGCUGUCUUCAAAUACUCCUAAUGAUAUUUUGGAGGAAAAAAAAAAGUCCCUCAUUACCACAUGAGUUGGGAGAAAAAAAUGAACUCACAGAUCACCAGCAUCUCUGCUCCUCUCCCCAUGUCAUCCCUGUCCUGUUGGGAUGCGGUUCAGUUCCCAGGAGACUGGAAUGCCCCUGAAAAUUGACAGUCACAUUCUAUUAUAACAUAUUUUCCCCAUUUAAUAACAUGGCCUAGGUAAUGACUCAUAACCCUCAAAGGACCUCCUGCCACUGACAGCUGAACUCAAGUAAUUGAGAGCACCAUGCAAUUUGGCAGUGACUGCACCUUUAUGGUUGGAUCAAGCAUUAAAGCAACAGUAUAUCUGGAUAGGCUUUCAGUAAAGUGACAGCCUCGUGAUGCGUUUCUGAAUCCGUUUUACAUGUGUAACUCUGGUGUCCCCAGAUUGUGUAGCCUAGAAUAGGGCUAUGAGUGCUUACUCUAUUCCAUUGUAAAUCUAUUACAGAUAGGGACAUUUCCUCUUUCUCAUCUCUGUCAUUUCAGUGUCGGGAUUAUAGAAUGUAACCUUGGCAUAGAGUGUGCUCAGUCAUCAUUUUCUCUUCCUCUUCCUAUGUCGGUUGGGUAUACAGACUUUGACAGGAACCACCACCUAUCAACAUCAGGACAACCACAUUCUCUAACAGCCGUGUAAGCCCUGUGUGUAUUAACAUGACUUAUUUACUCAUGCAGCCUCAAUGUGUAUAGCUGCUUCCUUCCUACUCCCUGAUGGUUUCAGUUAGGACUUCUUGAGACAUUUCCACAAAUGUCCACAUCCAUCCUUCUCAUGAACACAGCUCAUAUAGCUAGAGUCGGCCUCACUUUUGACUUCUCACUGGCAUCCUCAGAGAAUCACAGCUUGUUCUGGGACUCUCAGAAGCCUGUACUCUAUCUCAAGAGCGUCCCUCCUCCUCACCAUUAUCAGCACUUCAGCAUACAAAUACAACCUGGUACUUUAGCCCCUUUUCAGCUUUAAGACAUGUCUCCUACAUCACUAGGACUGUGCAUGUGUGUGUUCAUGUUUGUGUUCAUGUGUGUGUGUUCAUGUUUGUGUUCAUGUGUGUGCGUUCAUGAGUGCUUCUAUUGAAGCAUGCGCACAUGCACACAGUGCAUGCAAAGUCUAGAGAUCCAUAUCCGAUGUCUUAUCAAUCAAACUCCAGUUUGUUUUCUGGCCCCACUAAUUCUGCUGCACUGGUUGGCCUGAGAUGCUCCAGUGAUCCUUGUGUCUCCCCUCCCCAGCUCUGGAUUACACAUAUUCUGCUAGCCCCAUAUGCUUACACAUGUACUGGGAUCAAGCUCAGGUCCUCACACUUGAGCAGCAAACACUUCAACAACUGAGUCACAUCCUUAUUGCCUCAAGGCUAACUUUGUUCCUUGGCAUGUCUAUAUAUAUAUAUAUAUAUAUAUAUAUAUAUAUAUAUGCCGCAUGCAUCUGGUAUAUUUCAAUAAGCAUUCAGUAAUUAAUAGUAUAGUCAUUUCUGAAUUAAACCUUGAAUAUGUAAUUCCAUCAAUCAGAGUUAUAGCACAUAUUAAGCUAUCACCUGUGUGGGGUCAUCAUGGAGGCAAGCAAAGGGCAGUUUUCCAGGAAGUUGAACUUGGCUUCAAGUCCAAGCUUUGACAUGUUGUGUGACAGAUCUUUCUUGGGCAGUUGCAAUAACCACAAAUCUACUCAUGCCCAAAAUGGAACCCAUGUCAGACCAAAGUAACACUUGCAGCAAUAUCCAAGCUGCCAAGCCAAUGAGGUUUUGCUGCAGUUGCUGCCAGGAGCAAAGGUGAUGACUGAUCAGGACUAACUCAAAGGCAGCUGUAAGAGCAGAAAGCCCACCCCAAAAUGCGUAACAACUCCCCUAAAAUUGCAGCCCUGAAGUUCCCUACAGUUUGCAGACAGAUCCACAGUCCCAAUAUCUCUCUUUCUGCAGAGUGGCUGCUCGGAGUCUUCACUCCAGCUAUUGUUUUCUCCCUUCUAUUCUGUUGGGAGAGGGCCUCGAGAAUCUUCUAAGCUUUCUUCCCAAAUAAGUGAGUGACUUUGUACACCUCUCAUUUACCACCCAAGGCUCCUGAUACCCCUCUUUCCUGGUUCAAAUGUUUCCAUUUGGAGAGAGUGUUGUGACUGGGAGGUACACGCCACACCAGAGCAUUGACUCCUCUGUCUUUAGGUGAUGGCUCUUCAUAUCAAAACCUCAUCUCCAUCAGUGAAAUUUCAGUUUUCCCAAAGCUUUCUCACAGGGUAGGAAUAAGGAUUAAAGUUGGUGCCACCUGUAACUGUAUAUAAAUUGUGGUUUAGCACUGUGCUGGGGCUGGGGUGUGUGUGGCUCAAUGUAUAAAAAAAAAAACUUGCUGCUUGGGUAUAAAGAUCUGAGUUCCGAUUUGAAAGGAGUAGCCACGUCUAUAACCCCAGCACUUUAAAGCAAGGUGGGAGGCAGAAACAGGUGAGUACCAGAGAGCAUGCAGGGCAGCUAGCCUGGCAUGCGAGAACAAAUGACAAUAGACCUUUCCUCAAACAGGGUGGAAAGUGAAGACCAGCACUCAGGGUUGUCCCCUGGCACGUGUCCUGGCAUGUACAUGCACACAUUCACACAUACAAGUAUAUACAUGCACACAAAAUAUUAUGAAAAUGAGGCACAUCACUUUUCCUAUGUCCCCUUCUCCUAUGGAAGGCGAGAUGAAUUGAGACAGCCUGCAUUCUUUUGUUAACAGUGUGUGGAACUUGCACAAUGUAGAACACAAAUCUCAGCAUGAGAAAUGGGCUUCUGGUUCCCCUGGUGCAGUUGGGGCCACUGCUACUGGUGUGGAGGGAAAUGAGGGUAAAGCCGAGUCUCCCCUGAGUCUCUGAGUCUCAGGCAAAGUCUGCACUCUGCUUCUGCAGGCAUGGGCUGCUAUUGUAGUUUGUUUUGCCUGCCAUG